UUGUCAGGAGGUUAAUCCUUACCCGUUCCUCCUUUUGGAGGGCAGAUAGAAAAUGAUGAGUGGAGCUUGCAUGACUUGCUGAUUAGCAUUUCCGUGUUUGUUCCUAUCCAAA